rnacentral:rRNA from 1 species
ACAUACAAUGACUCUCGGCAACGGAUAUCUCGGCUCUUGCAUCGAUGAAGAACGUAGCGAAAUGCGAUACUUGGUGUGAAUUGCAGAAUCCCGUGAACCAUCGAGUCUUUGAACGCAAGUUGCGCCCGAAGCCAUUAGGCCGAGGGCACGCCUUGCCUGGGUGUCA